rnacentral:rRNA from 1 species
GACGAACGCUGGCGGCGUGCUUAAUACAUGCAAGUAGAACAGUUGCGAACGGGUGAGUAACGCGUAGGUAACUGCCUCAUAGCGGGGGAUAGCUAUUGGAAACGAAAGCUAAUACCGAACACUGUGAGAUGGACCUGCGGUGUAUUAGCUAGUUGGUGAGGUAAAGGCUGACCAAGGCGACGAUACCUAGCCGACCUGAGAGGGUGAGCGGCCAAACCGGGACGGGGGUACGUCCCAGACUCCUACGGGAGGCAGCAGUAGGGAAUCUGCGGCAAUGGACGGAAGUCUGACCGAGCAACGCCGCGUGAGUGAAGAAGGUUUUCGGGUCUUAAAGCUCUGUUGUUCGUGUAGCGGUAACUAACCAGAAAGGGACGGCUAACUACGUGCCAGCAGCCGCGGUAAUUC